GAUGAACGCUGGCGGCGUGCCUAAUACAUGCAAGUCGAGCGAACAGACGAGGAGCUUGCUCUUCUGACGUUAGCGGCGGACGGGUGAGUAACACGUGGAUAACCUACCUAUAAGACUGGGAUAACUUCGGGAAACCGGAGCUAAUACCGGAUAAUAUUUUGAACCGCAUGGUUCAAUAGUGAAAGACGGUUUUGCUGUCACUUAUAGAUGGAUCCGCGCCGCAUUAGCUAGUUGGUAAGGUAACGGCUUACCAAGGCAACGAUGCGUAGCCGACCUGAGAGGGUGAUCGGCCACACUGGAACUGAGACACGGUCCAGACUCCUACGGGAGGCAGCAGUAGGGAAUCUUCCGCAAUGGGCGAAAGCUUGACGGAGCAACGCCGCGUGAGUGAUGAAGGUCUUCGGAUCGUAAAACUCUGUUAUUAGGGAAGAACAAAUGUGUAAGUAACUAUGCACGUCUUGACGGUACCUAAUCAGAAAGCCACGGCUAACUACGUG
rnacentral:rRNA from 1 species